UGGGGAAUAUUGCACAAUGGAGGGAACUCUGAUGCAGCAACGCCGCGUGCGGGAUGACGGCCUUCGGGUUGUAAACCGCUUUCAGCCAUGACGAAGCUUUUGUGACGGUAGUGGUAGAAGAAGCACCGGCUAACUAUGUGCCAGCAGCCGCGGUGAUACGUAGGGUGCGAGCGUUGUCCGGUAUUAUUGGGCGUAAAGAGCUUGUAGGCGGUUUGUCGCGUCGAUAGUGUAAACACGCAGCUUAACUGUGUGCCUGCUGUCGAUACGGGCUGACUAGAGGAGGGUAGGGGAGAAUGGAAUUCCCGGUGGAGCGGUGGAAGGGGAAGAUAUCGGGAGGAAAACCAGUGGCGAAGGCGGUUCUCUGGACCUUUCCUGACGCUGAGAAGCGAAAGCGUGGGUAGCAAACAGG
rnacentral:rRNA from 1 species